rnacentral:rRNA from 1 species
AUUGAACGCUGGCGGCAGGCCUAACACAUGCCAGUCUCGCGGCAGCUGGCAAUUAGCUUGCUACUUUUGCCGGCGAGCGGCGGACGGGUGAGUAAUGCCUGGGAAAUUGCCCAGUCGAUUGGGAUAACAGUUGGAAACGACUGCUAAUACCGCAUACGCCCUACGGGGGAAAGCAGGGGACCUUCGGGCCUUGCGCGAUUGGAUAUGCGCAGGUGGGAUUAGCUAGUUGGUGAGGUAAUGGCUCACCAAGGCGACGAUCCCUAGCUGGUCUGCGAGGAUGUUCAGCCACACUGGCACUGAGACACGGGCCAGACUGCGACGGGAGGCAGCAGUGGGGAAUAUUGCACAAGGGGGGAAAACCGGAUGCAGCCAUGCCGAGUGUGAAGAAGGCAUUCGGGUGGGAAAGCACUUACAGCGAGGAGGAAAGGGGGAUGCCUAAUAGGGAUAAACUGUGACGGUACUCGCAGAAGAAGCACCGGCUAACUCAGGGCCAGCAGCCGCCGUAAGAC